AUUGAACGCUGCGGCAUGCCUUACACAUGCAAGUCGAACGGCAGCACGGAGCUUGCUCUGGUGGCGAGUGGCGAACGGGUGUGUAAUAUAUCGGAACGUACCCUAGAGUGGGGGAUAACGUAGCGAAAGUUACGCUAAUACCGCAUACGAUCUAAGGAUGAAAGUGGGGGAUCGCAAGACCUCAUGCUCGUGGAGCGGCCGAUAUCUGAUUAGCUAGUUGGUAGGGUAAAAGCCUACCAAGGCAUCGAUCAGUAGCUGGUCUGAGAGGACGACCAGCCACACUGGAACUGAGACACGGUCCAGACUCCUACGGGAGGCAGCAGUGGGGAAUUUUGGACAAUGGGCGAAAGCCUGAUCCAGCAAUGCCGCGUGAGUGAAGAAGGCCUUCGGGUUGUAAAGCUCUUUUGUCAGGGAAGAAACGGUGGGAGCUAAUAUCUCUUGCUAAUGACGGUACCUGAAGAAUAAGCACCGGCUAA
rnacentral:rRNA from 1 species